UCUCUCUCUCUCUCUCUCUCUCUCUCUCUCGCUCGCUUGUUCGCCAUCUGAUGCUGGAGGCUCUGAGGCUCCACGUCGCGUUGCUGAAAGGGGGGGCUUGAGGAUCACACCUACCGCUGCAACCUCCUCCUGCGAGCCUGCGCAAGGUCUGGCGCGACGCGGCACGCCGAUGACGUCCUCCGGCGGAUGCCCUCGCCCAGCCUCGUCUCCUUCAACACCGUGCUCUGGGGCCACCUCCGCCAUGGCCGCCCCGACGACGCCCUCGCCCUCUUCCGCCGCAUGCCGGCGGCGGACUCCCGCACCUGGAACAUCCUCAUCUCAGGGCUCGUCCGCAACCAGAGGGCCGGCGAGGCGGCGGGGCUCUUCGCCGGCAUGCUUCGUGGCCGCGUCAGGCCCGACGACGUCACCUUCGCCGCUGUUCUCCCCUGCUGCGGUCUCCUCCUCGGGCGCCAAGUCCACGCGCUAGCGGUGAGGGCUUGCUCCUGCGCAGAC
rnacentral:lncRNA from 1 species